UACGGGGGGGGCAAGCGUUGUUCGGAAUUACUGGGCGUAAAGGGCUCGUAGGCGGGCAACUAAGUCAGACGUGAAAUCCCUCAGCUUAACUGGGGAACUGCGUCUGAUACUGGAUGGCUUGGAUCCGGGAGAGGGAUGCGGAAUUCCAGGUGUAGCGGUGAAAUGCGUAGAUAUCUGGAGGAACACCGGUGGCGAAGGCGGCAUCCUGGACCGGUAUUGACGCUGAGGAGCGAAAGCCAGGGGAUCAAACAGG
rnacentral:rRNA from 1 species